rnacentral:misc_RNA from 1 species
UUGUGGAUGAUACCAUGCAAUCUGCUAUCCAACUCGCUGGACCUCUUGAUGUUGUAGUUGAUACCAAUCAUGUUGAUGUUCAUGUUGAUGAUGCACAGAUUGAUCAACCACUUGACAUUUCCCCUAUUCUUCCUCUUGUUGGUUCCACUGACGAUAGGCAUGGUAAAGGUGCACAACAGUGGCAAAAUACUAUUACUGGAGUGGGUCAAAGAUUCACCAGUGUUCAUGAAUUUCGUGAAUCAUUGCGUAAAUAUGCCAUUGCACAUCAGUUUGCUUUUAGGUAUAAGAAGAAUGAUAGUCACCGUGUGACUGUUAAAUGCAAAGCAGAAGGUUGUCCUUGGAGAAUUCAUGCAUCAAGAUUGUCAACCACUCAACUAAUCUGUAUUAAGAAGAUGAAUCCAACGCAUACAUGUGAAGGGUCUGUAGUGACAACAGGGCAUCAGGCAACUCGAAGCUGGGUGGCUAGCAUCAUCAAGGAAAAGUUGAAAGUUUUUCCAAAUUACAAGCCUAAGGAUAUUGUAAAUGACAUCAAACAAGAGUAUGGGAUCCAGCUAAAUUAUUUUCAGGCAUGGCGUGGAAAAGAGAUUGCAAAGGAACAACUUCAAGGUUCAUAUAAAGAGGCAUAUAAUCAGUUACCCUUGUUCUGUGAAAAGAUAACAGAGACUAAUCCAGGCAGUCUUGCUACUUUCACUACUAAGGAAGACUCGAGUUUCCAGCGCCUGUUUGUCUCAUUCCAUGCAUCAUUAUAUGGUUUUCUUCAAGGUUGUAGGCCUCUCCUUUUCCUUGAUAGUAUACCAUUGAAGUCAAAAUAUCAAGGCACAUUAUUAGCUGCAACAGCUGCAGAUGGGGAUGAUGGUGUAUUUCCUGUGGCAUUUGCUGUAGUAGAUGCAGAAACUGAUGAUAAUUGGCAUUGGUUUUUAUUGCAACUGAAAACUGCACUAUCAACCUCUUGUCCCAUAACAUUUGUGGCAGACAGACUGAAGGGUUUAAAGGAAUCAAUUGUUGAUAUAUUUAAGGGAUCAUACCAUGGCUAUUGCCUUCGGUACUUGACUGAGCAACUUAUUCGGGACUUGAAGGGACAGUUUUCUCACGAGGUGAAGCGGCUCAUGGUUGAGGAUUUGUAUUCUGCUGCUUAUGCACCUAGGCCUGAAGUAUUUCAGAGGUGCAUAGAAAGCAUUAAAAGCAUUUCACUAGAUGCUUAUACUUGGAUCAUACAAAGUGAGCCUCAAAAUUGGGCUAAUGCAUUCUUUCAGGGUACUAGAUAUAACCAUAUGAUGUCUAACUUUGGAGAGAUGUUCUAUAGUUGGGCAUCAGAUGCUCAUGAAUUGCCGAUAACACAGAUGGUUGAUGCAAUACGGGGUAAGGUUAUGGAGUUGAUUUACACACAGCGGGCAGAAUCUGAUCUGUGGAUGACAAGGUUAACACCAUCCAUGGAGGAAAAACUUGAAAAGGAGAGCUUAAAGGCCCCCUCCCUUCAAGUGCUACUGUCUGCUGGUAGCACAUUUGAGGUUCGUGGUGAAUCAGUUGAAGUGGUUGACAUUGAUCGAUGGGAUUGUAGUUGCAAAGGGUGGCAGCUAACUGGUUUACCUUGCUGCCAUGCUGUUGCAGUCAUUAGUUGUAUUGGAAGGAGCCCAUAUGAAUAUUGUUCAAGAUAUUUCACAACUGAGAGCUACAGAUUAACUUAUUCAGAAUCAGUUCAUCCUAUACCAACUGUGGACUGGCCUGUCCCGAAAGAUUCUUCUCAACUUACAGUAACUGUAACCCCUCCUCCAACCCGACGCCCUCCAGGACGACCCACUACAAAGAGAUGUGGACCACAAGAUGUAGCUAAACGUCAGCUCCAGUGCAGUAGGUGCAAGGGUCUUGGACACAACAAAUCCACCUGCAAAGAGCUUUUGUAGAGUGUUAGAAGAGCUUUGUAAAGUUUAAGGCGCUAAUCUGUAAAUGCAACGUUAACGCUCUCAUAUCUCAUCAAGGACCGGAGGCAUCAGGCUGAAACUGAAGGAUACACAAAAACCUGCAAUGUUAUGACAAUAAACCUGAGCCAUGGGAAUCAAUCUUUAGCAUUUUAGGGUAGUUUUUGUGUAGCCAGUGUUCUUUGGUAUGUAUUUUUUACUUGAAUUCAUGCUAUAGCUCGAAUAACAAGCGAUGACCAUGGCAAUAAUGCUAGGGAAGCAUGUUCUAGCUUGAUGUAAACAUAAGAGUACUGGUUCUCAAUAUUUGCCGGUGAUAUGAGGAAAGGCUUUUUCACUUGUCAAUGCAUUUAUAUGUUCUUUAAUGGUAGUGCUAAAACUAA